GUUUGGCGAACUGUCCCAGGCCCCAGGCAAAGGUGGUCAGGGGGAAUGGGGCUCAGGCAUUGCUAAGCAAACGGCACCACUGGUGGUCUCCAGCGCCAGAGGAGGUUUAACUUUUUUAGAUUCUACGUGUAAGUGAUAUCAUUACCCUCGGUUUCUUUAUAUGCAGAAUAAGAAUCAGCUCUCACUUGGAGAAGAUGAGGAUAAAUUAGCUAUUUUUGGAGAUAAUCAUUCAUCAGGGUGAAUACAUUUAUGCCAGGAGAGUGUUUUUCAACUUUAUUUAUAUAGCUAAUACUGUGUUUAGUCAAGUUGCUAUCAGCCAUUGGUUUCUUCAACGUUCUCUUUUAAAACCAAGUGUUACGCCUCCUUUCCUCAUUCCCAUAAUACCAGAUAUUCACUUCUAUACUAAUCAAGGGACAUCAGGUGCUGCUGAAGUAAGACUGACUCCCGCCAAAGCUCCCUCUAAGUGGGGGCUUUUCCUUUAUACCAUGCAACGUAAGUGAGCUUUUUGUUUGUUUGCUUUUGUGAUCUUGUAAGUGGUGAUCUAUAAGACGAGGCAAAGCUAGAGGUUUAAGCCUUUACUUCUAACAUGGAUUGCAACAUGACAACAUCCUCACUGUAGUAGGCAGUCUUCAAGAAGGCCCUGAUUCCCGCCUUCUGGUAUUCACACCCUUGUGUAGUCCUCUCCCCCACUGUAUGAGAAUUGGUUUGUCUGACCAACAGAAUAUGGCAGAAGUAGUGGUAUGUCACUUGCAAGAUUAGGUUAUAAUAGACUUUCAGGACCCGAAGACCAUAGGCCAAACUAGAACCUCAGUUCUAAAGGGACCUGUUUCUGAGGUUAGGAAGUGCUAACCCAGAUCCUGAGCCAAGAAGGCCCAGGUCCUUCUUGUACCUAAAAAAGUGAGAGAGAGAAAAACCUGGAUAUGUAAAUAUAAAUAAGUAGGAAUUUCACUGAAAGAUAGUGAAAAAGAGAGAGCACGUAAUAAAAAGAAAUGAAAUACUGAUAUAUGCUACAACAUGCUUCAACCUUAGUGAAAGAAGCCAGUCAUAAGAUUCCACAUAUUGUAUGAUUCCAUUUAUACAUAAUGUCCAGAAUCGGCAAAUCUGUAGAGACAGAAAGUAGAUUGAUAGUUGCCUAGGCUGGAAGGUUGGAGUGGGGGAAUUGGGGGUGCAAUAGCUUAGUUCAGGGUUUCUUUUGGAAGUACUGAAAAUGCUCUAACUGAUUGUGGUGAUGGUUGCGAAACUGUAAAUGUACAAGCCAUUGAAUUGUACACUUUGAAUGUGUGAAUUGUAUGGUAUAUGAAUUACAGUUGACCCUUGAACAAUGCAGGGGGUUAGGGGUCCUGACUCCUGCCCCUUCCCACACCCCUGCCCCCACUCCACACAGUCAAAAACCUGUGUGUAACUUUAUGUAUAUCUCAAUAAAGUUGUUGUUUAAAAAAA